UACGAAGGGGGCUAGCGUUGUUCGGAAUUACUGGGCGUAAAGCGCGCGCAGGCGGUCUUCCAAGUCGGUGGUGAAAGCCCGGAGCUCAACUCCGGAACUGCCAUUGAAACUGUUAGACUUGAGGACGAGAGAGGUGAGUGGAAUUCCCAGUGUAGAGGUGAAAUUCGUAGAUAUUGGGAAGAACACCGGUGGCGAAGGCGGCUCACUGGCUCGUUACUGACGCUCAGGCGCGACAGCGUGGGGAUCAAACAGG
rnacentral:rRNA from 1 species